rnacentral:lncRNA from 1 species
ACAUCUUCCAAAAUCUAGGCGGAGGUUCCCAAACCUCAAUUCCUAACUUCCGUGCAACCACAGGCACAUAUAAUGCUGUAUAUAUUUGUAAAAGAACAACUUGUAAGUGUUUAUCUUUUGUUUACCCUUUCAUUAUUCAUGAGAUAUUUUUAACUUUCUCCUUUUAAACUCUUGCUGCAUUUCAAAUUUGUAUUCCUAUCUCAGUGUAUACAUGGAUGAAGGUGUGUGUAUAUGUGUUGAUAGAUUUUUUUUUUCCUUGAGGAUUUUGGAUUUUGUGCCUUACUUAAAGUACUAUAGCUGUUUCAUAGGUAGAGAAAUAUAUCCCAUACUGGAAUUCUAGUAAUUUACUGAUUUCGUUGUUUUUUACAUUGAACUCAUUGUUCCAACUAGAACUUACUUUUAAAUGUAAAAUAGAGAAGAAAGGCAUUGUUUUUUCUGUUGCCGACAAUGCAGUUGUUGGAAAACCAUUCCUUGAUUAUAAAAAUAAUUCCAUCAUUAAUUUUAAAAGUCAUAUUUACAACAUACUAAAUUGCAAUAUUUUUCAUUAACUAAAUUUUUUCUUUGAACUGCACCUGCUCUCUUUCAAGUAAGGCACUAAGUAUGCAAUUGCUUUUGAAAAAUAGGUGAGUUUUUUUAAAGGAAUGAAUGGUGUUGAUAUUUGCAGAGAUACUGAAAUGAAAUCUACCAAAGAUUGACAAGAUAUUAGGGAAAAUAAUUUUUUAAAGACUAGACACUGCUAGUAUCUAAAGAAAUAGCAGGCUGAACAGCAGGCAAUCAAGUUUUUAAUUUUAAUGGAUUGGCUUAUACUUUGCCUCCUCCUAUAGACUGGUGCUUUUUGAAUGAAACUAUAUCUCCCUUUCCAUUUUGUGGGACUUAUGUUUAAUAAUACAAGAACUCAAACAUGAGAAAAGGGGGUAAACAUACAUAUACAUAUGUACAUGCAAUACAUAUACAUAUGUACAUGCAAUACAUAUACAUAUGUAUAUGCAAUACAUAUGUAUAUAUAUAAAAAAUAAAUUUGAUUAGAAGCAUGUUAAUCCCAAGAACAUAUUUUAAAUCAUCUGCAUGUUCCAAUAUUUACUUGAACUAGUGAAUACACACAGUAAUUAGGCUACUUUCAUCAAUCAUAAUUACAGUUUUAUACUUUUAAUUUUUAGGAUUCAUAAAUUAAAACUAAAACUUAUCAAAUUUAUGACUAUCAGUAAUGUCAUUGUCCCUUAAGAGUUAACAAAAGAGCUUCUGUACAGUAAAAGAAACUAUCAUCAGAGUGAACAGGCAACCUACAGAAUGGGUGAAAAUUUUUGCAAUCUACACUUCUGACAAAUGUCUAAUAUCCAGAAUUUGCAAGGAACUUAAACAUAUUUACAAGAAAAAACAGCCCCAUCGAAAAGUGGGCAAAGGAUAUGAACAGACACUUCUUAAUGGAAGACAUUUAUGUGGCCAAAAAACAUAUGAAAAAAGCUCAAGAUCACUGAUCAUCAGAGAAAUGCAAAUCAAAUCCACAACGAGAG